rnacentral:rRNA from 1 species
UACGUAGGGCGCAAGCGUUGUCCGGAAUUACUGGGCGUAAAGGGCGCGCAGGCGGCUCUGAAAGUCAGAUGUGAAAGCCCCGGGCUUAACCUGGGAAUUGCAUUUGAUACUCUGGAGCUUGAGUGUGGGAGAGGAGAGUGGAAUUCCCAGUGUAGAGGUGAAAUGCGCAGAUAUCAGGAGGAACACCGGUGGCGAAGGCGGAUCUCUGGGCCGUAACUGACGCUGAGGAGCGAAAGCAUGGGGAGCGAACAGG